rnacentral:rRNA from 1 species
UACGGAGGGGGCUAGCGUUGUUCGGAAUUACUGGGCGUAAAGGGUGCGUAGGCGGUUCGGUAAGUUUCGUGUGAAAUCUUCGGGCUCAACUCGAAGUCUGCACGAGAUACUGCCGGGCUUGAGUGUGGGAGAGGUGAGUGGAAUUUCCGGUGUAGCGGUGAAAUGCGUAGAUAUCGGAAGGAACACCUGUGGCGAAAGCGGCUCACUGGACCAUAACUGACGCUGAGGCACGAAAGCUAGGGGAGCAAACAGG